rnacentral:rRNA from 1 species
CAGGCUGCAACUCGCCUGCAUGAAGUUGGAAUUGCUAGUAAUCGCGAAUCAGAAUGUCGCGGUGAAUACGUUCCCGGGCCUUGUACACACCGCCCGUCACACCAUGAGAGUCGAUAACACCCGAAGCCUGUGAGCUAACCGCAAGGAGGCAGCAGUCGAAGGUGGGGUUGAUGAUUGGGGUGAAGUCGUAACAAGGUAGC